rnacentral:rRNA from 1 species
CGUGUAGGCGGGUCUUUAAGUCAGGGGUGAAAUGCCAAGGCUCAACCUUGGAACUGCCUUUGAUACUGGAGAUCUUGAGCCCGGGAGAGGUGAGUGGAACUGCGAGUGUAGAGGUGAAAUUCGUAGAUAUUCGCAAGAACACCAGUGGCGAAGGCGGCUCACUGGCCCGGAACUGACGCUGAGACGCGAAAGCGUGGGGAGCAAACAGGAUUAGAUACCCUGGUAGUCCACGCUGUAAACGAUGGAUGCUAGCCGUUGGGGAGCUUGCUCUUCAGUGGCGCCGCUAACGCAUUAAGCAUCCCGCCUGGGGAGUACGGUCGCAAGAUUAAA